GAUGACAAUAGCGAGUGUGAACCACCUGAUCCCAUCUCGAACUCAGAAGUGAAAAUGCUUAGCGCCGAUGGUAGUGUGGGGUUUCCCCAUGUGAGAGUAGGUCAUUGUCA
rnacentral:rRNA from 1 species